rnacentral:rRNA from 1 species
AGUGAACGCUGGCGGUAGGCCUAACACAUGCAAGUCGAACGGCAGCACAGUAAGAGCUUCUCUUACGGGUGGCGAGUGGCGGACGGGUGAGGAAUACAUCGGAAUCUACUUUUUCGUGGGGGAUAACGUAGGGAAACUUACGCUAAUACCGCAUACGACCUACGGGUGAAAGCAGGGGAUCUUCGGACCUUGCGCGAUUGAAUGAGCCGAUGUCGGAUUAGCUAGUUGGCGGGGUAAAGGCCCACCAAGGCGACGAUCCGUAGCUGGUCUGAGAGGAUGAUCAGCCACACUGGAACUGAGACACGGUCCAGACUCCUACGGGAGGCAGCAGUGGGGAAUAUUGGACAAUGGGCGCAGGCCUGAUCCAGCCAUACCGCGUGGGUGAAGAAGGCCUUCGGGUUGUAAAGCCCUUUUGUUGGGAAAGAAAAGCAGCAGGUUAAUACCCCGCUGUUCUGACGGUACCCAAAGAAUAAGCACCGGCUAACUUCGUG